rnacentral:lncRNA from 1 species
AGGGAAAUUGCAAAGCCCAUCUAGAGCCAGAGUGACAGCAUAUUUUUUUAUGAAUCAAGAAUCAACAUCGGGCUAUUUCCUAAGAUUAGACCAUGAAAGCCCACUUGGAGGCUGCACAGCUAUCUGCACACUUGAACCUGAAAAAUGGUCUUUUGCCAUCAGGGAGCUGAAUCAUCAGAAGUGAGACUAUUUUCUGAAUGAAAGGGUGGAGGUACCAGCAUCGUCUUGCAAUGUCAAGAGAUUAAGGAAAACUGGCAAUCAAUCACCAUCCUUUUUCAGAGGAAAAGAACACCCAAGAGUAGAAAGGUAUGCCAUCUUGCCAACCAAAAAGCUUGCUUCCUGAGCGUACAGACCUGGUCACAGACCUCUAGCCGCAAGCCUCAUGCACACACGACACUUUUAGUUGGUCUGUUUACACUGUCUUUCCAGGAAAGUUCUGGGAGAAGUGAUUUUCAUCCAUCUACUUUGGAAUUUAGUCGAUUUCUGGAAGGAGUUGAACAGAGGAAGCAAGCAGAAGAUGAAAAGUUUAAAAACAGGAGAAUCUGCUUUGUGUGCAUUAAAUACCUCCGCAGGUCUUAUUGUUUUAGAAAGUUUUGAUGAAUUCGAAGAGCAGAAAAACAAAUUUAUUCUGGAAUAAAUAAGACAACUCUCCUAUUGAGAUCAUAAAACAAGAAAGAUUCAUUUGCUGCCUGGGACCUGCAUUUCUUAAGGAUCUAAGGACAGAUGACCAUCUUCAUUUCUGCAUCACAUUCCAAUGAGGAAGGUCAAAAGUUCAGUGAUAUUAGAAUCAUAAGAGAAAAAAACCACAGCAAAAAAUCUGCUUUCCACUUUGAGAUUGUUGUACUUACCUACAGCAGCUGACGGCUCUUUUUGUGUCUGUAACACACUGUCCUUCAAGCCUCACCUGCAUGCAGAGUCAUCUGUACAGCAGUUAGAAUGUGUCUGGUCCUUCAGUGAAGGUUAUCAUGCUUCCAUGGGGGACACCAGGGCUCCGUUCCACCUUUACCCUCAUCUUGCUUCAACAUGGAGGGUCCAAUUAACUUCAAAGACCUUUCCUUGUGUAGAAAAACUCUGAUGAAGCGGAACAGAGUCUUACUGUAUGUUUGAUGUUUGUAAGAAUGUUAAUGAGAAGAGAUCAUGAUUAUCAUUAUGUUAAAAAAAAAAAAAAGGAUCUCGCUUUAGUCAAAUAUCUAAUUUUCUGUUAUCUGUCACAGACAAAUUCACCCAAGAUAUGCAGGGCAAAACAAACACAGCACAGUCAGGUAUCUUCUGGAUUUAUUUACAAUGAAAAACCGCACAUCUUUGAUAACCAUUCUUUAAUUAGGGGAAGAGUUUGGAACUUCCCCUUUGCUCCCUAUUUAAAACACAUUUGUUUUCCAUUAUGAAUUAGUUUGUAAAAAGCGCUGAACCAGAAAUUUAACUGUAAGCAAAAUAUGCUUUCACCUUAGUCCAGCGCUGUUUGAUAAAGUAUGUUUCACAGGCAAUUGUACCUAUUCUUUCCAAGAAGUAUGGAAAAGUACCCCUCCCCUCUCAUUUACUCUAAGAAUGUCUGCUUUUUGUGGAGGGGGAUAUUCAGAGGAAUAUAAACUCUUUGAGAGUCUGUGAAAUGCUGAGACGCAUACCGAAUAUAUCCUUUAAGUAGAAAAUAAUAGUAGGCAGGACAUAUAUACUGAACACACUUAUUGACCCCACACUUUGGUGCUCUUUGGAGCCGCGAAAAGCACAGAACAUACACUGAUUAUGUUUUUGUCAACAAAAGAAGAUGGAGAUGAACAAUGGCAUGAGUAAGUUCAUUUCUCAUUUAAAAAUGGGUCUUUAUCUCUGGGCUCUGAGAAGAUUCAGAGAAGACAAAUCAACGUAUCCGACAUGAGCCUCGGUAGCAAGGCCACUGGGCAUAGAAAUGAUGAUGAUGCCCUGAACAGAACUAGAAACAAGGACACAUGUAGGAACACCCGAGGUCCACUCUUGGGUCUGUUACUCUCCCUAAGGAGGGUUCUUGGCCUUCUUAGUAGAAAUUGAUGAGAGGCCAAGCAAGAAAUUCAGCCAAGUCUUUAUUCAUGGCCCCUGCUGCAGUGGGGUAGGGGGUGGGGAAAGGGGGUGGUGGAAACAAGCAAUAGAGUCCCUUGCUUGCUCACUUGGGGGGGACAAGUUGGUUUCUAAUGUGGGGUGAGGGUAGGGGCAAGUCCAAGAGUCAGCCCACAGGGGUAGCUUAGGUGUUUUGCCCACUCUUUUUUGUGGUAUUGUGUGCAGGGGUAUUACUUUGCUCCCAACACCCUGCAUUUGCUGUAAGCUUUUCAGAAGUGGCCAUUGAUCCUUUUUUUUUUUUUUUUUUUUCCUAUCUCAUUGUCCAUAAUUUGUCCCAACUGUGCAUGCACACAGUUAUUUUUAGUCCCCUAGGGUUUUUUAAUUUCUGUCACUUGAGAGAUGUUUGUCCAGGUGUAAACAACUGCAGCCACGUCAGCUAAGGGCCCCAGGCCCCAGGCCCCAGCCUGUCUCAGGUCUCUCAUGAACUACUCCAUGCUCCUGGACAAGUUGAUUAAUUAAUCUCUAAUUAUUACACAGUCUGGCUGUAAGAGAAGAGAGACUAUCAAUGAAAAGUGUAUCUGAACAGUAGGAAUAGUGUUAUAACCAAGAAACUUUACCCUAAGAACAACCCAUAAGCUUUUUCAUAGAUGUGUAAUUUUAGCCUAGAGAGUUAAGUCCUAUUCCUUAAAGAACUGGAAAGAUAAUGUAGGGUAUAACUUGAUGUUUUGUUAGCAUGACCAUUCACAAAUGUGUUAAUUUGAAAUUUUGUUAGGUACACAUGCUUCUUGAAAUAAAAUUUGCCCAGGAAGAAAACACUCAAUUGAAAAGUAUGUUAACAUAUUACCUACAUUUUAAGCUAAAAUAGAACUUAAAUGAUAAAGAAAAAGUUGUGACAGUAAAAAGAAACAAAAUAAUUAUUAAACAUAUUCUAUAUUCAAGGCUCUGGAGCCAAAAAGAUUGAGAUUCAACUCUUGCCCUACCAUUAUUGUCUCUAUAACUUGAGGCAAGUCAUUUAAACCUUCUUAGUUUCUUAGGUCAUAGGUGAAGAACUUUUGUGAGAAUUCAAUCAGAUGUCACACAUGAAGUGCUUAGUGCAGUAGCUAUUACAUGGUAAACAUUCAAUAAAUAAAAUUGAUAUUAUUGCCAUUCUUAUUACUGCUGGCUGUGCAGUUCUAAACAGUAGGUGCUCAAUGAGUGAUGACUGACCAUGAUGGAUCAAUGUCAUAUGAUAGGACCUAAAUAAAAAGAGAGUUGAAUGAAGGUAUUACCAAAUGGCAAGCUGAGCUAUCAGAAAGGAAAGAACCGAAAGGUCAAAUAACUGGAAUAUGUUGAUUAAAAGUCAUGAAAGAAGAUGCUAGAAAAAUUAAACUGAGGGUAGAUUGACCCUCAUUUAGUUUUAUCUUAUUUAGCCUUUAUGGGAAUAGGAGCUUAAAUUCUCAUCAUCAUUAGUAUAAAAAAAAAACUUUUAGAUUUUAGACAGGUAAAGUAAGAAGUCAGAUACUUCAAGUCUUGGCUCAUUCAACGGUCCAUCAAGCAGUCAUGUACUAGGCCUUCUGCCAGGUGUUAAGGAUAUAGCAAUAAAUGGUAUCUAGGGACAUAAUUUAGAACAACAAGGCUGGGGUAACUGGUUUAUAAGCUGUGAAUGUGGGACUGGUAAUGUCUCUAAGCCUAGAGAAUAAUGGAGGUGGAGUUUCAAGGAAUAAGAUAAAAUAUAUAAAUUGAAAUGAAUCCCAGAAGAUUAUGAAAGAACUGGUUUUUCCUCCUCUUAUUUUUUCUUUCUUGCUUUCAUUAAUUCUCAUAUUCUCCCUCCACUCCAGGGCACCACUAUCCACCACUGCACAUUCCACAGACAACUAACACUGCAUUGCAACGAGUCAGGAUUGAAGUUCUGAUGGCAGCUUAGGUAUUUUGAUGCAGAAAGAGGAGUAUUAAGGGCCAGACUGACAAGCUGAUCAACAGGAUGAAGGGAAGAAAUUAUAACAAUAGAUAGUGGCCUGAGAUUUCUCCUUUCCUCUUGUUAUUUCCCAUAUUGCCAAUAUUUUCCCCCAAGCUUUCAGAGUAAGGCCCAAUAGGGACUGGACACAAAGGAGCAAUAGUAUGAGUCCAGGGCAAAAACUUGAGAGUUGCAUUAAUGAGGCCAACCCUGGCCACGGGCCUAUUUCUGGUUCAGGGCUGACAGCGACCAACAGAAUUAGCAGGAUUGACAGCAAGAGGCAGAGGAGGUAUGAAAGGAAGGAAUGGGAGGUAGAGAGGAAAUAUCACAGAAGUCACCACUGGGACACCAUCGGGAAAGUAAGCACUGAGCUGGGGUAGAGCAUGGCAAUACCUGAAUGGGUCUGCCGCAUAUAUUCAUGGUGAUUCUAACACAGUGUUCAUCAGCCAGGUUAUUCUGUUAUGGGCAGGCAGCAAUACAGGCUUAGAUUAUUUCAUUUUUCUCUUUUUAAAUACAAUAGAACAGCUUUCAGACACUGAUUGGCAUUAGGUUCCAUGGCUUGGUAUCUUUUUUUAUUUUUUUAUUUUUUUAUUUUUUUUUUGCUUUCUAGGGCUGCACCCAUGGCAUAUGGAGGUUCCCAGGCUAGGGGUCAAAUCAGAGCCACAGCUGCCAGCCUACACUGCAGCCACAGCAAUGCCAGAUCCAAGCCACAUCUGCAGCCUAUACCACAGCUCAUGGCAACGCCAGAUCCGUAACCCACUGAGCAAGGCCAGAGAUUGAACCCACAACCUUGUGGUCCCUAGUGGGAUUUGUUUCCACUGUACCGCAAUGGGAACUCCAUGGCUUGGUAUCUUUUAAAGUGAGUCUGUUUCUUUUGGGCUUAAGACUAAGCCAAUUUUAAUGGUUGAGGUUUUAUAUUCAAUAGAGUUUUACCUAAAAUUAUUUGCAAAUAAUUUUUAACCUAAUGAAAAUAAAAUUAAAUAAUUUCCAUGUGCAUUUUAAAGUUGGGAAAGAAUUCUCUCCCUUUCUCUUUCUCUUUCUCUAGCCAUCUCUCUCCCCAACUCCCUCUGUUCAUCAUUUUCAACUAUCUGCAAAUAAUAAUAAUUACACAUAUAUGUGGAAAAGAGAGAGAAGAAUCAACAUUUUUUAACUUUAUAGGAAAAAUUUUGGAGUUGUGUAGUCAUCUUUUAAUAAGUUUGCUUUUAACUUACAUUGUAUAUAUAUCCGUGUGCCAUCUCGAUCGGCAUUUGUACCCACCACCAUGUUGUGAGUUUCCUGAGGGCAAGAACUGUAUCCUAGUCCUCCUUCUGUGCCCAGUACAUCGCUCAUUCUUGAAUGAUAUAACCUGAAAUGGCAAUGCAAGAUUUGCAAAGAAAGAUGUAUUCAAAAAUAAUACAGAAGCAAACGUACAGACUAGGAAAAUGCAGACUAAACUAGUGAUGAUACCCCUAUAUACCUAUUAAAGUGGGUAAAAUAAAGAAUGCUGAUAAUACUAGAGCUGACAAGGGGAAUACAGAAGUCUUGUACAUUAAGGGUGAAAAUGCAAAAUGGUGCAACUGUUCUGGCAAACAAUUUGGCAAUAUCUUAUAAAUUUAAUCACAUGCUUCGAAUAGGACCUAGCCUCCUAUUCCCAGGUAUUUCCCUAAAAGAAGUGAAAACUUUCAUUUAAACAAAAACCUACACAUGAACUCUAUUCAUCACAGAUAAAUGUGGAAAUGACCCAAAUGUCAUUUAUAGAUGAAUGGAUACACUGUAGUAUUCCAUAAUGGAAUACUAUUUAGCAGUAAAAAAGCAAACCACUUAUCCCUUCAAAAGCUUGGAUAGAUCUCAAAGGCAUUAUGCUGAGUGAAAAAACCAGUCUCAAAAGAGUCCAUUCUGUAUCAUUCCAUUUCAAUGGUAUUUUCAAAAAGACAAAACUCUGUAAUAAAAACUAGAUCAGUGGUGCCUAGGGUUGGGUUGGGAGGAGGGUGUGACUACAUAGGUACAGCGUGAGGUAGGUCUUUGGGGUGAUGGAACUGCCCUGUGUCCUAAUUGUGCUGAUAAUUACACAGAUUUAUACAUGUUAAAAUUCAUAGAGCACUAGGCUGAAAAUAGAGGUCAAUAUUACUUCACGUUGAUAUUAAAAUAUGUUAAGAUAACAAAAUAAUGAAAAUUAAGACACUAAAGAAAUGUAAAGUGUUUAUAACUAGCACUGGAUGUAUAAACUAAACGCCUCUAACUAGACUUCAACCCCUGAGGGUCUGCUUUCUAUAAGAUCACAAAUCUUCAUCUUGCACCUCUUUCACUCACAGCAAACCCAGAAAUGUGCCCUGAAGUAUAAACUGGAUCUGUAUGUUAGUCUCUGUGAGCAGAUGGCUGGUAAUGAGCACCAUUUCUUACAUACUUCCAAUGCUAAUCAUCCCUAAUAAAGCCUAAUCAAAGAAAGGAUUGGCGCUACCCAAUCGGCAAUACCCCACGUGUCGAUUUCAUUGUGGACGCUUCAUUUGUGGAUGAUUUCAUUGUCGAUUUCAUCUUGUGCAGGUCAUAUUUCUUAUGGAAUUUUUUUCCCAUCCUUUGGAACUAGAGCCUAGACUGUAAUGUUUAUAUAAAUUGACAUCUUUACCUUCGU